rnacentral:rRNA from 1 species
GACGAACGCUGGCGGCGUGCUUAACACAUGCAAGUCGAACGGAAAGGCCCUGCUUUUGUGGGGUGCUCGAGUGGCGAACGGGUGAGUAACACGUGAGUAACCUGCCCUUGACUUUGGGAUAACUUCAGGAAACUGGGGCUAAUACCGGAUAGGAGCUCCUGCUGCAUGGUGGGGGUUGGAAAGUUUCGGCGGUUGGGGAUGGACUCGCGGCUUAUCAGCUUGUUGGUGGGGUAGUGGCUUACCAAGGCUUUGACGGGUAGCCGGCCUGAGAGGGUGACCGGCCACAAUGGGACUGCGAUACGGACCAGACUCCUACGGGAGGCAGAGGUGGGGAAUAUUGCACAAUGGGCGCAAGCCUGAUGCAGCAACGCCGCGUGCGGGAUGACGGCCUUCGGGGUAUAAACCGCUUUCGCCUGUGACGAAGCGUGAGUGACGGUAAUGGGUAAAGAAGCACCGGCUAACUACGUG